AGAGUUUGCACUCCCGGCUCAGAAUGACCGCUGGGGGGAGGAUUAACACAUGCACGUCGAGCGCACUCUUCGUAGUGAGCGGGAGACGGUUGACAUAACGCCGUGGGAAUCUACCCNACUCUACGGUAUACCUCAGGGAAUCUUGUGCUAAUACCCAAUACGCCCUUCGGGGGAACGCACUUAUCGGCUGUUGGUNUGAUCCCGGCGUUGGAUUUAGCUAGUNGCCGGNUGNAUAGNCCUACCAANCAGCNGGAUCCCAUAGCUUNGUCUUGAGAGGGAUNACCAGGCACAACUGGGGACUUGAGAGAACGAGNCCCNGACU
rnacentral:rRNA from 1 species